rnacentral:rRNA from 1 species
UACGUAGGGUGCGAGCGUUAAUCGGAAUUACUGGGCGUAAAGCGUGCGCAGGCGGUUCGUUAAGUCAGCUGUGAAAGCCCCGGGCUCAACCUGGGAAUUGCGAUGGAGACUGCAAGGCUUGAAUCUGGCAGAGGGGGGUAGAAUUCCACGUGUAGCAGUGAAAUGCGUAGAGAUGUGGAGGAACACCGAUGGCGAAGGCAGCCCCCUGGGUCAAGAUUGACGCUCAUGCACGAAAGCGUGGGGAGCAAACAGG